AUCAUUAAUUUUGACACCCCAUGCAAGUUAAUGAGCCCAGUGAUAUGUUGGUCAAUACAGUGCCUAUAAAAAUGUAGUUAAGUAUCACAUGAAUGAAGGAGUGAAAAAUACAUAAAGACGGAAUAAAUGAAUAAAACAGCAGAGAUGGGACUGAGGUGUCCAUAGCGGCCAGAAGGGGGCAUUGGAGAGCUUGGAGCUUGUAUUACAGAUGUAAAAAUCAGAAGGAUGCCCCACUGAAAACACGGAACAGUGAAGCCUCGAGAGGGAAAAGGGAUCGAGCGCUGCCAUCGUUCGUGGUCCUCUAGCCCGUUCCUCCGGAGCACUGAUGAUUUGCCCA